AUUGAACGCUGGCGGCAUGCCUUACACAUGCAAGUCGAACGGUAACGCGGGGCAACCUGGCGACGAGUGGCGAACGGGUGAGUAAUACAUCGGAACGUGCCCGAUCGUGGGGGAUAACGAAGCGAAAGCUUUGCUAAUACCGCAUACGAUCUACGGAUGAAAGCAGGGGACCGCAAGGCCUUGCGCGAACGGAGCGGCCGAUGGCAGAUUAGGUAGUUGGUGGGAUAAAAGCUUACCAAGCCGACGAUCUGUAGCUGGUCUGAGAGGACGACCGGCCACACUGGGACUGAGACACGGCCCAGACUCCUACGGGAGGCAGCAGUGGGGAAUUUUGGACAAUGGGCGAAAGCCUGAUCCAGCCAUGCCGCGUGCAGGAUGAAGGCCUUCGGGUUGUAAACUGCUUUUGUACGGAACGAAAAGACUCUGGUUAAUACCUGGGGUCCAUGACGGUACCGUAAGAAUAAGCACCGGCUAACUACGUGCCAGCAGCCGCCGUAACAC
rnacentral:rRNA from 1 species